UUCUGGACACGCCUCUUCAGAUUUCUUUCCGUUUGUGAAAACAGAUAUUAAUGAAGGUCAUUCAAAAACUGAAGUGGCUUACCUCAGACUUCCAAAAGCAGGGCAUGCCAGUACUUGAUUUGACAGUCCAGUGAGUGACGUCAAGCUCCUGACGGCCGGGACCGGUUUCUUCAGAGAAACUUUUUUUUUUUAAAGAUUUAUUUUUAUUUAUACAAGAGCUGGGGUCCAGGCCAGAUGCACAGGAGGGUGAGAGGAUUCAGCAGAGACAGAGCGGGGAGCAGAACAGGCAGACUGACGAAAUACAUUGCUGAGGGGAGCAGCGGGCGAGACAGGAGAGGUCUGCCGUGCCAUGUGGGACGCUCGCCCGGCGGCCGGAAUCGAACCCGCGCUGCAGAGGCUGCUGACAGCUUCAUAGCACGGCGCUCAACCGCCUGCGACACCAGAGAGGCCCUUCCUCAGAGAAACUUUGUGAAGAAAUCAGGGGACCUGACUGUCCCGUAAGGUCCCUCUGCCUCUAACUCACCGCCGCUCAGCGCGACACUGCCCGCCACCCAGGGAGCAGCACUGCCAGGCUUGCGGGGGGACCCCAGGCAGAGGAAAGGCCCCUGGGUAGAUUCAUCCCAGUGUGUCAGCUGUGCACUGACAGAGGUGUUGCUGGGGAAAAUCCAGACCUACCCGCUGCACGGUUGUCCGUAACACGAUUUUCCCAAAUGAUGCUGCCUCCAAGCUCCCCACCAGCCAGAAGUUAGAGAAUGAUCAGACCUUUGGACAAUGAACAUAAAGCCUGAAAGAAGUUGGAUUUCUUUCUGGUCUACUAGCAAGUAUGGUAAAAGUUGGAAAAGAUAUGUAAGAAUUCUUCCCAGUGAUGAAGAGGAGAAAUAGGGCAUGGAACUCUGGCCUCUGGCUUCCGAUCCAACACCUCCUUCUUGCCAAGCCCUAAGCUGCUCAGGAAGAUGAGAAAAUGAAGGGAAUUGGCGUGAGUAGAGGCCUAAUACCUUAGGGGCGACUUUUAUUGUAAAAGUUCUUUUUAAAGCCUCUGCUUUUAGAGUCUCAUUUGGUCCCUCAAAAAGGUUUGAGAUAUAUAGCAACCCAUGAAAAGGAGACAGAAAAGUUAUAACAUAUGAGCCAAACAGUUUGAAAUACUGAUGUCUUUAAAAGAGGUACCUCUCCAAUUUGAGAAAGAUUGCAUUUCUAACUUAACAUAUUAACUACUGGACUGACAUACAGUGUCUUUAAACAAAGCUCCCUGCUAAGACAGCCUGGUUUUUAUGCACUAUUUGUUCACCUACUCUAACAUACAGCAGAUCCUGAGUAUAUGUCAUCUGUGGAUAACUAAGACUGUGAUAACACAGAACGGUUGAUCACAGAUCUAAACUGGCAUUUGGUUUACCCUGACAAUAACCUGAAAAUAUCUCUGUAGAUACUCACAUGGAUAAACACAGUCGACAGUUAUUUGGUUUACCCUGUUUUGCAUUGACUGGAACUUAGAAAUGCAGGUUUCAAUUGGAUAAAAACUGAGCAGCUAAAACAUUCUGCCUGGCAAUAGAGAAAGGAAACUGCAUAUGGCCGAAACCCUCCCCAGCCGAGGUGUCUGUCACCAAAAAAAGGGCUAUAUUUGUAAAUGUUAACAAAAGCUAAACACAGGGUUUCGCUAUGGUAAGAAAAUGCCACACUCCCCUUCUCCAUAAAUUGGGUUUCUAGGAAGCAAUCCCUCCC